GACGAACGCUGGCGGCGUGCUUAACACAUGCAAGUCGAACGGUAAGGCCCUUCGGGGUACACGAGUGGCGAACGGGUGAGUAACACGUGGGUGAUCUGCCCUGCACUUCGGGAUAAGCCUGGGAAACUGGGUCCAAUACCGGAUAGGACUCCUGGCUCCAUGGUUGGGGGUGGAAAGCUUUUGCGGUGUGGGAUGGGCCCGCGGCCUAUCAGCUUGUUGGUGGGGUAAUGGCCUACCAAGGCGACGACGGGUAGCCGGCCUGAGAGGGUGACCGGUCACACUGGGACUGAGAUACGGCCCAGACUCCUACGGGAGGCAGCAGUGGGGAAUAUUGCACAAUGGGCGCAAGCCUGAUGCAGCGACGCCGCGUGAGGGAUGACGGCCUUCGGGUUGUAAACCUCUUUCAGCUAUGACGAAGCGCAAGUGACGGUAGUAGCAGAAGAAGGACCGGCCAACUACGUGCCAGCAGCCGCCGCGG
rnacentral:rRNA from 1 species